rnacentral:rRNA from 1 species
ACGGUAGCAGGACUUGCUGGCGCUGACUGGUGGCGCACGGGUGAGUAACGCGUGGGUUACCUGCCCUUAAGUGGGGAAGGCUUGGAGAAAUCCAAGCUAAUACCGCAUAAUACCUUCGGGUUAAAGAGGGGGAUCUUCGGACCUCUCGCUUAUGGAUGGUCCCGCGUCUGAUUAGCUAAUUGGUAUGGUAAUGGCCUACCCCGGCAAUGAUCCGUACCUGGUCUGAGAGGAUGAUAAGACACACUGGAACUGAAACGCGGUCCAGACUCCUACCGGAGGCAACGGUGGGGAAUUUUGCACAAUGGGCGAAAGCCUGAUGCAACGACGCCGCGUGCGGGAAGAAGGCCUUCGGGUUGUAAACCGCUUUCUCACGGAAGAAGGAAUGAGAGCUAAUACCUCUCUGCCUUGACGGUACCUGUAGAAGAAACACCGGCUAAUUUCGUGCCAUCACCCGCGGUAAUACAAAAGGUGCAAGCGUUGUUCGGAUUUACUGGGCGUAAAGAGAUCGUAGGUGGCUUGUUAAUUCGGAUGUGAAAUCCCGGGGCUCAACCCCGGAACUGCAUCCGAUACUGGCAGGCUUGAGUUUGGGAGGGGUAAGCGGAAUUCCGUGUGUAGCAGUGAAAUGCGUGCAUAUACGGAGGAACACCUGAGGCGAAGCGGCUUACUGGACCAAUACUGACACUGAGGAUCGAAAGCGUGGGUAGCAAACAGGAUUAGAUACCCUGGUAGUCCACGCCCUACACGAUGUCAACUAGCUCGGUGCGGGUAUCGACCCCUGCAGUGGCGCAGCUAACGCGAUA